rnacentral:tRNA from 1 species
GCUGGGGUGGUGGAAUAGGUAGACACAGAGGACUUAAAAUCCUCUGGCCCUAAAGGCCGUGCGGGUUCGAGUCCCGCCCUCAGCA